rnacentral:rRNA from 1 species
CGAUGAACCACUUCGGUGGGGAUUAGUGGCGAACGGGUGAGUAACACGUGGGCAAUCUGCCCUUCACUCUGGGACAAGCCCUGGAAACGGGGUCUAAUACCGGAUACGACCUGCCAAGGCAUCUUGGUGGGUGGAAAGCUCCGGCGGUGAAGGAUGAGCCCGCGGCCUAUCAGCUUGUUGGUGAGGUAACGGCUCACCAAGGCGACGACGGGUAGCCGGCCUGAGAGGGCGACCGGCCACACUGGGACUGAGACACGGCCCAGACUCCUACGGGAGGCAGCAGUGGGGAAUAUUGCACAAUGGGCGAAAGCCUGAUGCAGCGACGCCGCGUGAGGGAUGACGGCCUUCGGGUUGUAAACCUCUUUCAGCAGGGAAGAAGCGAAAGUGACGGUACCUGCAGAAGAAGCGCCGGCUAACUACGUGCCAGCAGCCGCGGUAAUACGUAGGGCGCAAGCGUUGUCCGGAAUUAUUGGGCGUAAAGAGCUCGUAGGCGGCUUGUCACGUCGGUUGUGAAAGCCCGGGGCUUAACCCCGGGUCUGCAGUCGAUACGGGCAGGCUAGAGUUCGGUAGGGGAGAUCGGAAUUCCUGGUGUAGCGGUGAAAUGCGCAGAUAUCAGGAGGAACACCGGUGGCGAAGGCGGAUCUCUGGGCCGAUACUGACGCUGAGGAGCGAAAGCGUGGGGAGCGAACAGGAUUAGAUACCCUGGUAGUCCACGCCGUAAACGGUGGGCACUAGGUGUGGGCAACAUUCCACGUUGUCCGUGCCGCAGCUAACGCAUUAAGUGCCCCGCCUGGGGAGUAC